GCAGUUCAUUUUUCUGCUAAAAGAAUUUGAUCUUCAUAUCCUCUUUUGAAUCAUGUCUGUUUUAUGCAUCCUUGUAUUCUUCCUCAUAGUUAAAAGGCAAAGAAUCUGGUAGGCAUGAAUUCGGGAAGAAUGGGAUAGUAAAAACAAGUAUAGCAUAUACCUGAAAAAGUUCCACAUGCCACGCCGGAAAAUCUCCAGGCUUGCAACUAUUGCUGACAAGAUUUUUUUGUGUAUAAAUGGAGCUGGAUUAAACCCAAAAACUGACUGCACCCAGGCAAGUCUCAGUAUAACAUUCACCACCUGCAAUUCACCCAAACUGAAUGUCAAUUUUUAAGGUAAAGUUAUUAUAACAGUUCAGCUCUUGCAAAAAUGCAGGCCUCGUCAGAUAGUGUCAGUAAACAGUUAAUUAACAUAAUUGAUAGAAGGAAGUUGCUCAGUUUGUUACCAUGGCAAUGAAGUAAACAUUUUUGUUGGGCACAAGAAGCUUGUCUCUCAACCAACGGUUUUUUGAAUCUCUUUGCAGAAGUCCCCAAUCCUUAAUAAGAUCCCAGUAUGUGGAAAUACAUGUAGCAAAAACUGAAGUAAGAGUUGCUGCAAUCUUCAAAUUCCCAGUCUUCAUCUGAUCAAAAACUGUUCUUGUAGCAACAGCAAUGAUAGUUGACAAGUAUUUUAGUC